UAUUAGAAAGCUUCCUUAAGCAUUGACCUUUUAAAUCAAAAAAAAAUAUUUUAGAUAUUUCUAAUAU
rnacentral:tRNA from 1 species